UACGUAGGGGGCUAGCGUUGUCCGGAUUUAUUGGGCGUAAAGAGCGUGUAGGCGGCCAUGUAGGUCCGGUGUGAAAACUCGAGGCUUAACCUCGAGAUGUCAUCGGAAACCAUUUGGCUAGAGUCCGGAAGAGGAGAGUGGAAUUCCUGGUGUAGCGGUGAAAUGCGCAGAUAUCAGGAGGAACACCAAUUGCGAAGGCAGCUCGCUGGGACGUAACUGACGCUGAGACGCGAAAGCUAGGGGAGCAAACAGG
rnacentral:rRNA from 1 species